GCUUACGGUCACACUGGCCUGAGUACGCCUGAUCUUGUCCGAUCUCGGAAGCUAAGCAGGGUCGGGCCUGGUUAGUACUUGGAUGGGAGACCGCCUGGGAAUACCAGGUGCUGUAAGCU
ensembl:rRNA 5S_rRNA 5S ribosomal RNA